rnacentral:misc_RNA from 1 species
AAACUGCGAUAAGUAAUGUGAAUUGCAGAAUUCAGUGAAUCAUCGAAUCUUUGAACGCACAUUGCGCUCGCCAGUAUUCUGGCGAGCAUGCCUGUUCGAGCGUCAUUUCAACCAUCAAGCUCUGCUUGCGUUGGGGAUCCGCGGCUGCCCGCGGUCCCUCAAAAACAGUGGCGGGCUCGCUAGUCACACCGAGCGUAGUAACUCUACAUCGCUAUGGUCGUGCGGCGGGUUCUUGCCGUAAAACCCCCAAUUUCUAAGGUUGACCUCGGAUCAGGUAGGAAUACCCGCUGAACUUAAGC